CUCAACUAUGACAGAAAGAGGAGCAGAGCAAAAUCAAACAGGAGGAGAAAAUUAUUAUCAAGUCGGCUGACAAUUUUGCAGAUUCACUUGAGCCAGGUACACAGCGACGACGAUACUGGCAUUGAUGCAAGAAGUGGUGCACUUCUUCAGAACAAAGGUAUCUUGAACAAAUGACUAAUUUCUUUUGUUCCUGAUUGGAAUAUUGUCUCAAGAAUACAAACGUGGCAAAGAGAACAGAUGCAGGACUUUGGAAUAUGAAGUUGCUGAUUCUUUGAUUUUAUAUCAUCCACAUGUCUAUAAGAGGUAAGGUCAUUCUGUUCAGUUUAUGAAUUGCUUAAUUUGAUGCUCAUUACGCUUUCUUUUCUUUUAUCCUUCUCACUCAUUAUGCAUUCUGUUCUGUUCAGUACAAUAAACUAUACUAAUUGUUUCCCUAUGCGAAAUUGGGAAUUUGGA